AAUAGGCUAGUUAAGAGCGUAAGGGGAAUGCCUUGGCUCUCAAAGGCGAUGAAGGACGUGAUAAGCUGCGAUAAGCUGUGGGGAGUGGCACAAACACUUUGAUCCGCAGAUUUCCGAAUGGGGCAACCCGGCAUAUUGAAGAUAUGUCACACUGUAAAGUGAGCAAACCUGGUGAACUGAAACAUCUAAGUAACCAGAGGAAUAGAAAACAAAAGUGAUUCCGCUAGUAGUGGCGAGCGAACGUGGAACAGCCC
rnacentral:rRNA from 1 species